AUGCACAAAAGAUCACACUCUGGCUGGAACAACGUGGGAAUUCGCCACGCGGAUGGGUUAAGGACCUAUUCUGAACCAGUAUUGUCAAUUUUCCGUGAUGGAAUUACGGCAUGGCAGAUUCUAUGCUGUCUGUCUUGGGCUGCAAUGCUUAUUAUACCCACCUUCUUAAACUGUCAUACGUCAUUAAUAAGACUGAACCGUCAGCUUGUCAUGUCUCAGUUUGUUAAUCACUGUUUAUCAUCAUCUCAAUCUGGUGGUUCAAGCUCUCCUGUAAAUACUCCUUUGGUGUCUAAACCUCAGUUUCUGAAGUGUUCCUCUUAUUCCUCGUACCAGAUUUAA